rnacentral:rRNA from 1 species
AUGGAGCCGGCCACCAAGAACGAUCUGAAGGACCUGAUGAAGGAACUGCUCAAGGAGCUCAAGGAAGACAUCAAGGAGGCUGUCGCGGAGGCGUUCGGCAACUCGAAGCCGGCGCUCGACCAUGCGUUCACGCCGGCUGCUUCGCAGUUGCUCCCUACCGACGCACCUGCUUCGCCCACGACCACCGUCGACGUCGUCCCCGUGCUCCCUACCUCGUCUGCAAGCGCCAAGCCUGUAGACAUUGACGCCACGGGCAUCGCUGCACCGACGCCCACGACCUGCUCGACGGAUGGCCAUGGCAACGACACUGGUGGGGACGGCUUCAUGGGCGUGUCCGUGUUGGUGCGGGACACAAUUCACCCAUCCUCUGCAUCCCCGGAGGCCUCACCGACCCUGCCAUGCCAGUUGUUUAUCGCCAUCAAGCUUGACACCAAGGUGCCUCCAAGGUGUUUGAGAAAAAGACGUAAUGACGACACCCCGGCAUUCAGGACCAAGUCUCAUGGCUCUUGCCCGAACGUCCUAGGUCAGUACAUCAACUCCUAUGCAGAACCACCACCACGGCUACAAGGAUUGAUAUCAACUAGUCUGUGCAUGAUGAGGGAGUGUAAAUGGCUGUUAUAUGCGCCAUCUCGGCCGCCGGAUCCGUUGUACUCUACUCGAAGACUACUUUCUCCUUGGCAUUCACUUCUACCUGCCUCAGCUCCGAAGCCACCGUGGCUGCUACCUGGACGUGACCUCACAGGAGAAUCUUAUAGCCACAGGCUACCAAGCCGGCGAGGCCUUGUCGUAUGUGAGUUGAUAAUUUGCAAUGGAUUCUCAGAAAAAACUACAGCAACAAAAUCUAAGGUGAUUCAGAGUAAUCUCUCCAGCUCUCCUAAUAGCAUCAAUGUGAAUGGUCUGUUCAAUGUCUAUGUGAUGUGGUGCAUAGAUCGUGGGUUCUUAAGGAUUAAGAAAUGGAGGUUAGAUAUUCAUUGUUCGUGGCUUAUUAGUGGAAGUUUUGAAGCUUCUUUUUGGCCUGAGCAACACAUCACUGGGAAUUAUUUGCAAGUCCUAGUUACAGGCUCACUAUUGCAAUUGUUUUUGUCUGGCUCUACACCCAUAUCCCUUUUGGAAGAUAUCCUAGUACUGUCCUGCAGAUCAAUUGGACUGUCAGUUGAGGAAUUAUCUGAGGCAACUUACUCUCGUGCUAUUUCGUUGUAUGUUGCAUAUCGACAAUGGAUAAUAUCCUGGUUAGAGGGGAGUUUUUGGUUAACUAAGACAUGCUCUUCUUUACAAGAGGAGCGAAUCACCUAUUCCUGUGCAAAGAUUGUCACAACUCGGCUAUUGGUUUCUGCUAAAACUGAAUGUUUGGAUUCCCUGUUGCUUAUUCAUGCAUAUCUUGGAGGGGUUUGUGGGCUCAAAUGGGACAUUCACAUUACACUUGUGCAUGCGACUAAGUGGUCUAGUAGCUUGCACUCUGAGAAGUUAUAUAAUCCAAGUUCCUUUUGGUCUGAAUCAACUCUAUGCAUCAAUCAGUUCAAAGAACUACUCUGCCAUAUGAAUAUUUUCUUGGCUUGUAUGCCUGGUGAACAACCAAUCGUGUUGCUGCCAGACCAUUGGUUUGUGACGGGCAUGGAGCAUUUACAAGUGUUGCAUGGUGCCAGCGGUUUUCCUUGGUACUACUAUCUGGGAACUCUUCAUUACUUGUGCCGUCAUCUUGCAACUAAAGAUACAACAGGGUUCCUUGCAUCUUGCUCGAAUUGGAUGUCGGAGGUCAAGAACUUGGUUAGUUAUGGGGUACAAUUGUACACUGUCAAUGAUUUUUCUGAGUGGCGUCUACGUGGACCUACAACAUGUUACCCUGUUCUGAUUAACUUUUGGGCCAUGGGGACUGGGUACUUUCAAAUUCUACAGCAACUUGGUAAUAUUGAACCGAGGGAGAAUCAAAUAAGCAAAAAUAUAGAUGAGCAGUGGCCUGGUCAGCUAGUGUUCUUAUGCUUGAUCAGUGAUGGUGUGGCUUAUUGUCUUAUGGCUGAUUCACACUCAGUUGGAUUGGUGCUUUCGUCUGUGAUUUUUGAAGUUGUGGUACCACCUGUCGAGUAUGCUCCGAGGCUGCUAUGUAUGCAACCUAUUACUCACAACUUGGCUACUGAUAGCAAAUAA